UGCUCCUUCCUGACCAUGGUCACGGAGAUGCGGUAGACUGUCUUCCUGGGGGGCGUCCCGCGCUGCAUCGCGUCCGCAGGCGGAGACGCGGGUUCGCCGCUGCCGUCCAGCAGGAGAACCGAGUCAGAUCACUGCAGGAGGAAGGGUUUCUGAUCUAAGACCUCCUGUGAUGCCCAGCUUCUGCCAUCACCCUGCCCAGGCUGAACUCAUUAGGGACCCAGGAGAUAAGGACUGGACCCUUGAGUCCCAGAAGUAUGGAGUAUGCUGGGUCCUAGGGCCAAGGACAUUCUGAUCCAGGAGAAGAAAAACCCCAGCCCACCGCCCAGCACCUACAUCUUGCUCGCCUUUUUCCUGGAGGACCAACAGCAGUGCAGCCUGCCGGCCCAACUGUGGGCCCAGACCGUCUGAUGUAAAGGGAGCCCCAGACGUUGUAAGGCAGCACCUGUGCUCCAGGCACUUCCAUUCUAUCCGGAAGCUCACAGUGUAACCUCGGCCGGCCCCACAGCCAGACUCCAGCCCCAGAGUGAGGAAAGCGGGUCCAUGACUGCUGGCCUGACCUUAGAUGAAAGGUGCAUGGAAGGCAUCCUCGGAUCUGAGAGUCAGGCAGUUUGCACACAUGGAAGCCGGAGAGCUGGUGCCCCUGAAGUGGGGGGAAAGGGGAGGGGGAGACCCACCCCCAGCGGGAACUCAAGUCCCACUCAGUAUCCUGCCAACAAGGGUUUCUGGGGCAGGGGUCCUUGGCUUGGACGGCAGACAACAGGUGAUCACCACAAGAUGCUGGCGCCCGUCCCGCCUGCCUCUGUAGGUCACGAUGAAGAGCUCUGGACGGUCUCUCUAUACAAAGAGAAGCCAUGAGCUCCAGUAAUCCUCCCCGGAGUCCGAAGAACAGCAGUAGAGACGGAGGAGGCCGCCGCCAGUCC